rnacentral:rRNA from 1 species
UACGAAGGGUGCAAGCGUUGUUCGGAAUUACUGGGCGUAAAGGGUUUGUAGGCUGAAAUGUAAGUCAGGUGUGAAAUCCCCGAGCUAAACUUGGGACGUGCAUUUGAAACUGUGUUUCUUGAGUAUCGUAGAGGGUGGUGGAAUUGUAGGUGUAGGAGUGACAUCCGUAGAGAUCUGCAGGAACAUCAGAGGCGAAGGCGACCACCUGGCCGAUUACUGACGCUGAGGAACGAAAGCGUGGGGAGCAAACAGG